rnacentral:lncRNA from 1 species
AUUACAGAGGUGGAAGCGUGUUUAUUAUUGCUACAUCAGGCUGAAGGUCCAGGCUUCCGCAUAAUCUCUACUGAUAGAUACUAUGGAAUGAUGGGGCAAGAAAUAGCCUUAUUACCAACAAUCAGAGAUGGAAGUCCCAGAAAUGUAUUUGGCCUUCCCUGCUACCAUCUUGGCAGAGAUGUUACUUAAUUACAGCCUCAUGCAACUAGAAUUCAAAUAUCAGAAGUUACAGCCAUUGAUCAUUUCCUCUCUCUUUGCAAUAGAUGGAUUAUGCAUGGUAUCUUCCCAAAGUGUGCAAAAUCCAAUCUGCUCCCCGGCUCUUCAGAGAAAUGCCUGGAGAGUAAGGUUCUCUCUUCCUUACACUACGUGCUUUUGGCAGAAGCCUUGAAAGCAUGAAAGAAGACCAAGCGAAUGCACAGAAUGGAGCACUGCUGAGACAAAUUCACAGAGAAACUGAGUGGGAGUCCUGACUGGAUGAGGUCUCCAGAUUUUCCACUUCUAGAAAUGUUAUGAUUCACCUCUCUCAGGAGGGAGACAAGCCCUUGUUUGGAAGCCAUGAGAAAGCUUGAGGACCAUCACUAAACUGUAAUCAAUACAUACAAAGAAGAAUAUAAGAUUGUAAAUAUCUGUAAUCAACAAGGACUCUGUAAGUACCCUGCCUUACUGUUAUGGGAG